CCUACGGGAGGCAGCAGUGAGGAAUAUUGGUCAAUGGGCGGAAGCCUGAUCCAGCCAUUCCGCGUGAGUGAAGAAGGCCUUCGGGUUGUAAAGCUCUUUCGGCAGGAACGAAACGGCGGACUCUAACAUAGUCUGUCAAUGACGGUACCUGAAGAAGAAGCACCGGCUAACUACGUGCCAGCAGCCGCGGUAAUACGUAGGGUGCGAGCGUUAAUCGGAAUUACUGGGCGUAAAGCGUGCGCAGGCGGCUUUGUAAGACGGAUGUAAAAUCCCUGGGCUUAACCGAGGAACUGCGUUCGUGACUGCAAAGCUAGAGUGCGGCAGAGGGGGGUGGAAUUCCUGGUGUAGCAGUAAAAUGCGUAGAGAUCAGGAGGAACACCGAUGGCGAGGGCGGCCCCCGGGGUUGACACUGACGCUCAUGCACGAAAGCGUGGGGAGCGAACGGGAUUAGAUACCCGGGUAGU
rnacentral:rRNA from 1 species